GACAGAGUGUGCAACCGUUGCUCGGAAUUACUGGGCGUAAAGCGCGUGUAGGCGGGUCGGCAAGUCGGGCGUGAAAUCCCCAGGCUCAACCUGGGAACUGCACUCGAAACUUCCGGUCUAGAGUGGUGGAGAGGGAAGUGGAAUUCCUGGUGUAGAGGUGAAAUUCGUAGAUAUCAGGAGGAACACCAGUGGCGAAGGCGGCUUCCUGGACACCAACUGACGCUGAGACGCGAAAGCGUGGGGAGCAAACAGG
rnacentral:rRNA from 1 species